rnacentral:rRNA from 1 species
AGUUUACUUUUUUUAAAAAAUUAUUUUUUUGGUUUUUAAAUAUAUUUUUUUUGAAGAAAAAGUUUUGUUGGGGCGACAAUAAAAUUUAUUUAACUUUUAUUAUUUUUAUUCAUUUAUUUAUGUUUUUUUGAUCCAAAAAUUUUGAUUAUAAGAUUAACU